GGCGAGCUCUGGUCGGCUGACACAUCCCGGCCAAUCUCCAGCAGACUCUCCCACCUCCUGGACAGCAUCCAUGUUGGAUGCUGUCCAGGAGGUGGGAGGGUCUGCUGGAGAUUGGCCGGGAUGUGUCAGCCGACCAG
rnacentral:miRNA from 1 species